CGGCCCAGCGCCAGGACUUUCAGAGUAGCCGACAAAAACAUCUACACGUCCUUAUUUGGACAUGUGGAGAGAUUUUAGGUGGUGGUUAAAAGCAGGCCGUCACAGGCUGGGGUUUUCAGAGCGCUUCGCAGAGGGUCCGCUGGAAGAACACAGCUGACCUUUUCCGACCUCUCAGUUCUCUCUGCAGAGGAACAAGCAGAUUGUUUGCUCACUUACCUGGGUCAACUCUCCAACAUCAUCAUGCUGUAAGUCCUGAGUACCAAUUUUAGUUUUUUUUCUGACCUUGCCUUGCCUUGCCUGCUUCCUUCCUUCUGGUUUUGGACUCUGCCAUUCUUGCCUGAGAUUGACCACUGAUUACCUGAUUCCUGUCUGUGCUGCUCCCAUCCUACCAACGUCUGCCUGUCUGUUGAACAAGCUUCAUUAAAUCUCCACAAACUGAGAUCUGUGUGAGCUGUGCAUUUGUCCCUCAUAUUGCUAUUCGUGACAACAUGUUCUUUUGUUUCUGUCUCUUUAACUUCACUGAAUUUGAACAUGGCCUUUAACAAAACAGUCACGAUCUGGGGUUUUGUUUCUUGUUUUAUUUUGAAGGACUUUUCUGUUUCACCUUAGUUGUCAGGUUUUGGUUCCAGUUUCCCGUUUUAUUUUUAGUACUUCUGUUUCUGGUCACGUUAUGUUAGUUCCCGCAUCACGUCCCGGUCCUAGUUACGCACCUGUCAAUAAUCUAGUAAUCACCGCCUGUCAGAACACACGGAGGAGGACCCAAAUGCACAGCGCACAGGAGUAUAGUGGAGGGAAUCAGAGUUUAUUGCACAACGUUGUCAAUCAGUCCAGGUCAUACACAGAAUGGCACAGUCUUUAGGCACAGGCAAGGAACAGACAAGAUCAGGUCCAGGAGGCAGGCAAUGGUUCGAUACACGAGGAGGCUCAGCGACGGUACAGGUAAGGACUAGACAACUCACUGGUCAGACAGUCGUGCAAAGGUCAAUCUCCAAGCGAAGGUACAAGAACAGGUCAGGCAUGAAUCGGUAGUCAGAGACAAGCAGGAUCAAUAGCAUGAGACAAUCACUAGAACGCUGGAUAGUAGUACAGAGACUUGACAAUCUGGCGUCUGACUGUGGGCUGAGGUGGCGUUUAAGUACUGAGUCUGAUUGUUAGAUUAUUGUCAGGUGUGCAUAGUGAACCGGGACGUGAAUAGCUGAGACGUGAACAGGAAGUCCUUUCAGAUUAAAACAGGAAAUGACAUGAAAAACAAGAGGCAAGAAACCAGAUCGUGACACCGCCAGUACAUAAGCACCAGUAAUUGCCACAUCCGUUGCCAGAUUGUUAGUUCGUGUUUGUGUGUCUACUCUCCAUCAUUCAGCCAAGUCAGUUAGUUUUUGCAUUGACCCUGUUUUUGGUUUUGACCAUGUCCUGCCUGUUCCCAGUCGGUGCCUUCUGACUCUGCUUUGUAUAUGGAAUCCAGCCUGGAUCUUGACUGCCUUUGCUCACUCCCUGUCUGUGUCUGUGCCGUUGCCAUUAUCACUGUGCUGAUCUGUGUACCGACUUUUGCCUGCCUGACCAUAAGCCUGAUUAAAUCUUCUCAAGACUGAGUUCAUACGAGCUGUGCAUGUAGGUCCGUCAUAUUAAUGAGGCGCUGACAACCCGUUUAACAUUUUUAGAACAUAUCAGAAUCAGAAUCGUUUUUAUUGCCCAGGUUUGCACAAGACAAACAAGGAAUUGCAUCCGGUCUGACAACGUCUUUUCAUACCCUCAUACCGAACAGUAAUUAUUUACAUAUCAAUUACAGUUAUAUACAUUAUUUGCAUAAAAGAAAUAAAGAAUAGAAAAAAAAUUAAACAUUUCACCACACAUGUUUUUGAGUCCUUUCUGUAUGUGAUGGAGUUCAGCUAGGACACCGCCUGGGGGAAGAAGCUGACUCUGUGUCUGGUGGUUGUGGUGGCUAUAGCUCUGUGGCGCCUGCCUGAGGGGAGGAGUGUCACGUUCUGAAAGCCACAUCCUGUUUUAUUGCAUAGCAGUUCCGGUUUCCUGUCACAUCUCAUUAGCUCCAGCCUUACUUCCGGUUCUCAUUAGUCACACCUGCUCAGAAUCAGUAAUCACUCACCUGCAUACUUAAACACCACCAGUUCCAGAACCCGUUGCUAGAUUGUUGUAUGCUAGUCAUCACCUUCCAGCGCUUCGUUAUCCUGCCUACAUGUUCCUCGGUCCUGUUUUGUUUCUGGACUCCUGAUUCUCGUCUGCUCCUCAACUGUACUGUCGCCUGGAAAGCUCUAGUGAUACCGACCUGACCGCCUGACACCGAGAUAGCCUGCUCCUUACCGGUACUGUAAACCUUGUCAUCCUGUUACCGAGACUCUGCCUGCCCCUGGACCUGAUUCAGCAUGCUCCAUCUGUACCGACAUCUGUGAUCUCUUGUGUAUGACCCGGACCGUCUGUUAUAUCGAGAAUUGUAUUAAACCUUUAAAUACUACUAUCUGUCUGAGGUCUCUGUGCUGUGCAUGUGGGUCCGAGCUCUGCCAAAACCUGACAAGGAGUUUAAACAGUUUGUGUGUGGGAUGUGUGGGGUCAGCAGUGAUGCUCAAUGGAUGAAAGCUCAGACCCAAUGACAGACUAGGUGAUAGCCUUGUAGAAGAUGGUCAGUAGCUCCUGGGGUAGGACGGUGAAAAAGUGGACGAAGGAGUCCAAGCUACAGUAGAGCUGCUUUGACUCUACUGACUGGGAGGAUUUUGAAGCAGCCAUGACAUUCAUGAGCUCACUGACACUGUGACAUCAUACAUCAGCUUUUGUGAAGAUAUAUGCAUUCAGAUAAAAACUGUAUGCACAUUCAACAAAAAAAACAACUUGUUUCACACCUGACUUAAGGAAGCUACUUCAGGCCAAGGAAGAAGCCUACAGAAGUGGUGACCGGUCCCUGUAAAGGGAGGUGUGAUGGAAAUUUGCCAUAAACAAGCAGAUGAGAGAGUUGUCUUUUGUGUGAUUUAUUAUAAAAAUAAAGGAAAAUAAAAAUAAUGGUGAAAUCAAAUGAAAAACAUGGAUGGUGAUCAUGCACAUCAACAAACCUAAUUGCAGCGUCUCAGCAAACACUUGACCUGGAGUGCCCUGACAUACAGUAGGGAAAGUGUGGGUCUAACUGGAAGUUCCCCCGCCUAAGGAAAAACAAGGCAGAGCAAAGCGUUCUCACUUUGUGUUGAGAUUAUGAUUUGUUAUAUUUUUUUACCAAAAUAAUGAUGGAAAACACAUUAAAAGGUCAAGAGGAUGGUCCAGGGAGCUGAAUCCCACCCCGUGAGCAAUCGGUAUAUAAGGUGAUGUUGGGACCAAAUAUUCUCAGUCUGUCCUGUCUUCUGUCACUUUUCUGUGGAAUAAAUGCAUUGUUACCCUAGAUCUUGCUGCUCUGGACUUAACCUAACUCUGGAUCUUACUAUUUGGAUUUAAUUUAAUUUUGGGAUCCCACUGUUGGGACUUACUGGUUGGUUUAUUCUUCAUUUUUUGGGAAAUUAAUAAUUUUCUGGAACCAUACAACUGUGGAUUUAGGUCAUUUUCUUCCGUUUGGGAUUUAUUAUUUAAUUUCUAGAAUUUACAUAGUUUGACUUUUAUCAUUUUAACAAUAAUAUAAUAAUUUACACCUAUUGGAUUUAUAAUAGAUCAGUCAGAUUGGAAUACAAAGUUUAUUUUAUUUCAGACACGACACUUUAAAGUUCAAAUCAAUAAUUGAUUACAUGUAAUAAAAAAAUAUAAAAUAUAAUUGAAAUAAAAUAGAGAAGCAGUUCCUGUCUGUUUCUUCUGCAGAGAGAACUGAAAGGUUGAAAAGGUCAGAUUUGCAGACGCAAUAUGUCUCUAGCAGGCCCUCUGUGUAGCGCCUGCUUUAACUACUAAUCCAGCUCUCUCCCCACAUCCAAAUAAGGCAAGAAUAAAGUCUAGAUGUUUAUUCAAAGAAUCUACGUGCUUACAUGUAAAGGAAUGGUAAUUGCCCGUGUUAUCCCUUUAGCUUCCCAGAAAACAUUUGGACCUUAGCUGAACUCCCAGAACUGUUUUGGACAUCAGCCCAGACCAAGAUAUUACAUAAGCAGAUGUUUUCCUAAGAACAAACCUUCUCAAACUCAAACUCUUUAACCCUAGUUACUAACAACAGAGAUUGAAUCAAACCUUUACAACCAGUAACUAAGGACAGACAUGAAAACCCCAUCACAUGUACUUUUCAUAGACAAUGAGAAAAUUUACUACACCUACUAAGGAUAAUCUGUCUGGUUGAGACUGACAAGGUCAUUUCUGUUAAACAAUCCUGGUUAUUCAAUUCAAUAACCAGGAUUACCAUAGCCAGUACAUAGCCUAAAUGUAAAGAUUGGUUGAUUUGAUUUAAUAUGGACGAGCUGAUUAAAGGUAAAACUUCUUUGAGUAAUCUGGUUGGGAUUGGAUCUAAAAGACAAGUGGCUACUUGGAAGAGUUGAUUAUUGAGGUUAACUCCAUAUGAGUUAUGGGGAAGAGGCUGUCUAGGUAAGACAGAGGAUUUGGUAAAUUUAAAGUUGAUGGAUCUAGACAGUGCUUUCUGUCAUUUGGAAGAGGUCGCUGCUGAAUGUUUUUUCUAAUGACGAUAAUUUUAUUAGUAAAGUAGUUCAUAAAGUCAUUGCUGCUGAGAUUUAAGGGGAUAGUAGGCACAACACAGCUAUGACUCUUAGUCAGCCUGGCUACAGUGCUGAAAAGAAACCUGGGGUUGUUUUGGUUUUCCUCAAUUAGGGAGGAAAAAUAUGUUUUUCUAGCAGCACAAAGUGCUUUUUUAUAUUUUAUUAGACUGUCCUUCCAUGCAAUGCAGUUUACAUUUAUUUUGUUGGAACGCCACUGUCUUUCUAGUUGUCUGGUCCUGUGCUUUAGGCUGUGGAUCUCUGAGUUAUAUAUUGUACAUGCUGUAUUUUUUUUUCAUUGUAAUUUAUAAAAUGAUCAGACUGUACAAUGUCAUGUCAUAUUUCAUGUUAUAUUUUGGUUGUUGGCUACCUGCUGUAGCCUGCUCCUUAUCUGUACUGUAGUUGCCUGCUUCCCUGUGUAUCGACCAAGAGCUCUGAUUAAACUUGAUUCAUACCUACCA